CUUAAAUAAGAAGUAAAAUAUUACAUUUAGUUUCGACCUAAAAAUUUGAUGAUUCAUCCUUAUUUAAAAAAAAUU
rnacentral:tRNA from 1 species